UGAGCUAGUAUAACGUGAUGCCAAUCGAAGAGCGUCGUGGGGGCAUAACUGUGGCAUAUGAUGCCCAGCUUAGUUUGCCAUUGCUCGCACCAUCUCCUAAUAGGUCUGGUGUAGCUGGCUCGUAUCUCGAUCCAGAGAUGCUGUUCUGGGUGCUCACAUCUCCAAUGCUUUAGAGUGAGGUUCUUCGAUGGACCUCGCCCUCGCCUCACUACCGAUGAAGACUGG
rnacentral:lncRNA from 1 species